AUGUUAGCGGCGGACGGGUGAGUAACACGUGGAUAACCUACCUAUAAGACUGGGAUAACUUCGGGAAACCGGAGCUAAUACCGGAUAAUAUUUUGAACCGCAUGGUUCAAAAGUGAAAGACGGUCUUGCUGUCACUUAUAGAUGGAUCCGCGCUGCAUUAGCUAGUUGGUAAGGUAACGGCUUACCAAGGCAACGAUGCAUAGCCGACCUGAGAGGGUGAUCGGCCACACUGGAACUGAGACACGGUCCAGACUCCUACGGGAGGCAGCAGUAGGGAAUCUUCCGCAAUGGGCGAAAGCCUGACGGAGCAACGCCGCGUGAGUGAUGAAGGUCUUCGGAUCGUAAAACUCUGUUAUUAGGGAAGAACAUAUGUGUAAGUAACUGUGCACAUCUUGACGGUACCUAAUCAGAAAGCCACGGCUAACUACGUGCCAGCAGCCGCGGUAAUACGCAGGUGGCAAGCGUUAUCCGGAAUUAUUGGGCGUAAAGCGCGCGUAGGCGGUUUUUUAAGUCUGAUGUGAAAGCCCACGGCUCAACCGUGGAGGGUCAUUGGAAACUGGAAAACUUGAGUGCAGAAGAGGAAAGUGGAAUUCCAUGUGUAGCGGUGAAAUGCGCAGAGAUAUGGAGGAACACCAGUGGCGAAGGCGACUUUCUGGUCUGUAACUGACGCUGAUGUGCGAAAGCGUGGGGAUCAAACAGGAUUAGAUACCUGGUAGUCCACGCCGUAAACGAUGAGUGCUAAGUGUUAGGGGGUUUCCGCCCCUUAGUGCUGCAGCUAACGCAUUAAGCACUCCGCCUGGGGAGUACU
rnacentral:rRNA from 1 species